GCGACAGGCAUGGGGACAUCACAAUACCAAAUGGAUGUGGCAUCCUUUGAGUCUGUCCCAAAGAAGCAGUCCAGUGAUUCCUCAGACUGACAGGCUCUUAUUUCAUCCUACAUGUAGGACAGGGAGAUGAGGGGAGAGACAGGGAGAGGCUAUAAAGGGUCGGUUGCCAGAGCAAGCCGUCUUUGACAGCACUGAUGGAAACUAUGGAAAGCGUUCAGGAGGAAAUCUGUUGGGGGCAAGGCAUUAAGAAGAAGUAUCAGGGGAGAGCGAGAGAUGUUGUUUUCCACUACAGCAGAAGAGAGAGGAAUAACUAUGAGAUGGAGAGAGAGAAAAGAAAGAAAGAAAGAAAGAAAGAAAGAAAGAAAGAAAGAAAGAGGGAGAGAGAGAGAGAGAGAAAAUUUGAGCCAUUAGUUUUGAAAAUUGUACACAAUUGUGUAAAACUUCAUACAUUUCGUAUGAUAUGUUACGUCCUGCAAAAAUGUAAUAUAAUCCUGACAUUCGUGUGAUAUGUUAUGAAUUCUAAUUAGUACAAUACAAUAAGUUUGAUCACGUUCAAUCCCUUGAACUACAGUGCAUUCGAAAAGUAUUCGGACCCGUUGACUUUAUCCACAUUUUGUUAUGUUACAGCCUUAUUCUAAAAUGGAUUCAAUAAUUUUUUUCCCUCAUCAGUCUACACACAAUACCCCAUAAUGACAAAGCAAAACAGGUUUUCAUAAAUGUUAGCAAAUGUAAAACUUUUUUUUUUAAGUAUUCAGACCCUUUACUCAGUACUUUGUUGAAGCACCUUUGGUAGCGAUUACAGCCUCGGAUAUUCUUGGGUAUGACGCUACAAGCUUGGCACACAUGUAUUUGGGGAGUUUCUCACAUUCUUCUCUGCAGAUCCUCUCAAGCUCUGUCGGGUUGGAUAGGGAGCGUUGCUGCACAGUUAUUUUCAUGUCUCUUCUGAGAUGUUCGAUCGGGUUCAAGUCCGGGGUCUGGCUGGGCCACUCUAGGACGUUCAGAGCCUAAGCACACUGCAUUGUCUUGGCUGUGUGCUUAGGGUCAUUGUCCUGUUGGAAGGUAAAUCUUCGCCCCCAGUCUGUCAUGGUUCCUCCUGGCAUCAGAGGGCAGCAGAGACCGCCCUAGAGACUUUUAUUGGACUUUCAUUGUGUCUUAUUAUUUAAUGAUUGUGUCCCUGUUAAAAGAGAUGUGUUUUCUGUGUGUCACGAUUCUCUAAAGCAGAACCCAGAAGCAGACCAGGACAAGGUGAGUUGAACGAAGGUGAGUAUUUAUUUACAGACUCAAAUGUGAAAGCAGAAUAAUCCAGGAGACGGAGCGGGCAGCGG
rnacentral:lncRNA from 1 species